UACGGAGGGUGCAAGCGUUAUCCGGAUUCACUGGGUUUAAAGGGUGCGUAGGUGGGUUGGUAAGUCAGUGGUGAAAUCUCCGUGCUUAACAUGGGAACUGCCAUUGAUACUACUGAUCUUGAAUUUUCAGGAGGUAAGCGGAAUAUGUCAUGUAGCGGUGAAAUGCUUAGAUAUGACAUAGAACAUCAAUUGCGAAGGCAGCUUACUACAGGAAUAUUGACACUGAUGCACGAAAGCGUGGGGAUCAAACAGG
rnacentral:rRNA from 1 species